UAUAUCUUAGUUGCACGUCCUUCUAGUUGUGGGAUGUGGGACGCCGCCUCAAUGUGGCCUUACGAGCGGUGCUAUGUCUGCGCCCAGGAUCUGAACCCUGGGCUGCCGCAGCGGAGCGCUCAAACUUAACCACUCAGCCACGGAGCCGGCCCCUUUACUUUCUACUCAUCACUUUGAUGAGUGUUUUCUUAUUACAAGUGGCCCGAAAUCCCUUGAGGAAUGUGUCAAGAGAAUAAAAAAAUAAAAAAAUAGAAAAUAAGUAAGGGUAAUGGCUGAGCCGUGCAGUGCCCUCUUGGUUAGUCACUCACACAAAACGCCUUUCCGAGUGAUGCGCUGCCCAGCCCCGCUCAGGCCCCUGCUUGUAGGAGCCCUGAGAACCGCCCGGGGAGGCGAUCAUUUCCGUAAUUGAGAUGUUUCAGAUGAAGAUAAUUAACACGGAGAUGCGGUUUCUCAGGAUGCUGAGACUCAUUUAAAGACCCAAGGAGGGUUCCAAAAAGAAACUACGGAACUAACUUUAACGUUGGCCUUCAACUCUUCAAAGCCAGAUUGCUUCAGAGAGCGGGCCCACGCCGGGCUGCGCUCACCCGCCGGCCCGCGACACACGCAGCUGCUGAGCGCUUCGGCGGACCAAGCUCACCCCGGGUUUUCGGGCGUCCGUUCCUUUCUAGGAACUCCAAGGGCGACUACUGCCCCCCGACAUCCUGUGAGGAACCAUCUCAAAUCCUCGCCACCAACAUCAUGAGAAAAUGCCAGGAACCGGGCACCCAGGUGGUAGGGGAGUGGCUGCUGGCGCAGCCAGGUGGGCAAACGGGAGACGCCACAGCCACCUCCCGGCGCGCAGCAGGAGCCGUGUCAACCGAGGCUCUGCUGUGGCCAGACUGCCACGUGUCCGUAAGAAGUCCCCAAGAAGGUUUAACUUAAAAAUGUGUUUAUCACCAGGAAAAAGUGGGUGUGAGACACCUUAGGUGCCAGCGCAGAAAAAUCGAGGCUUCAGAGCCAAGCACCCUUGUCUUUUUAGCUUACUCGGGCAAGUCACUUCAGGUUCUGUCCUCCCUCGGAACUAGGCUGCAGUUCACCGAGUGCUGGGCACUAUGCCGAGGCCCUAUCCAACCUCUUACACUCUCCCAACAUCACCCG
rnacentral:lncRNA from 1 species